GGCCCUUAUAAAAUGCAUCAAAUCUCACACAUUCUCCCUGAAGCCGGAUGCCUGGAUGCGGUGAAAAUGACCCCCUCCCCCUCCUCAAAACAAAAAAUUAUUAAAAUAAAUUUAUAAAAUAUUAACAAUGAACUUGCUAUAUAAAAAUAUUUAUUUAAUUGUUUUUAUAAAAUCUAUUUUGUCAGGAUUGGCAAGUUAUGACAUUGUUUUAAAAAAAUAAAAAAU
rnacentral:lncRNA from 1 species